rnacentral:misc_RNA from 1 species
GUUAAGCAAGUGGGCUGGUAGACUGGGAUCGAAGCGGCCUGGAAUUCCAGGUGUUGUAGACAUAUUUUUGGGUUUUUUAGACAUGCAUUAAAUGUGAUAAAAAAAAUGGUUCAUAGUUUGAUCUGUUUGCCGAAAAAUAAUCAGCUGAAUGUUGAAUACNCAACAACUAUUGAUAAUGAUGCAGGUAUGAUCGGCGGUUUAAUUACCCAAGUUUGAGGUAAUUGAAUGUUUCGGCCCAGAGUUUAGGCUACUGUGGCUUGAAGUAAAAUUUUGGAACGUCCUGCAUAUUUGUGGGACAAUAAUAAAUGCUUUUAGCAAGAAUGAGAUUUUGCUCAGGUUUUAUCAUUUGUAUAAAAUAAAUAUAUCAUCUAUCUAUAUUACUUACUUUGAAUGCAUGAAGAUCGAAAUUUUUCUCUACUUGCAAUCUGUUUUGUUCCAGUGAUAAUGUAAAUUUAGCAAUUGAAAUAUUGUUGAAUAAUAAAUUUGGGCGCAAAUGUUGCUUGAAGUGAAGUAAAAAUCAUCGCUACAAUAAAUGUGUGCUAUUAACGAUUGGAUGUGAUUUAUGCUUCAACAUAUUUGUAACAAUAGUCUACGACCAUACCACGUUGAAAGCACGA